CACGUAGUUAGCCGGGGCUUCUUACUCAGGUACCGUCAUUUUCUUCCCUGCUGAUAGAGCUUUACGUAACGAAUUACUUCUUCACUCACGCGGCGUCGCUGCAUCAGGGUUUCCCCCAUUGUGCAAUAUUCCCCACUGCUGCCUCCCGUAGGAGUCUGGGCCGUGUCUCAGUCCCAAUGUGGCCGUCCACCCUCUCAGGCCGGCUACUGAUCGUCGCCUUGGUGGGCCGUUACCCCGCCAACAAGCUAAUCAGACGCGGGUCCAUCUUACACCACCGGAGUUUUUCACACCGCUUCAUGCGAAGCUGUGCGCUUAUGCGGUUUUAGCACCUAUUUCUAAGUGUUAUCCCCCUGUGUAAGGCAGGUUGCCCACGCGUUACUCACCCGUCCGCCACUAACCCAUAUAUCACCAGGUUUCAAUAUGGGUCCGUUCGACUUGCAUGUGUUAAGCACGCCGCCAGCGUUCAUCCUGAGCCAGGAUCAAACUCU
rnacentral:rRNA from 1 species